UAGAGGAAGUAAAAGUCGUAACAAGGUCUCCGUUGGUGAACCAGCGGAGGGAUCAUUACUGAGUUUACGCUCUACAACCCUUUGUGAACAUACCUAUAACUGUUGCUUCGGCGGGUAGGGUCUCCGUGACCCUCCCGGCCUCCCGCCCCCGGGCGGGUCGGCGCCCGCCGGAGGAUAACCAAACUCUGAUUUAACGACGUUUCUUCUGAGUGGUACAAGCAAAUAAUCAAAACUUUUAACAACGGAUCUCUUGGUUCUGGCAUCGAUGAAGAACGCAGCGAAAUGCGAUAAGUAAUGUGAAUUGCAGAAUUCAGUGAAUCAUCGAAUCUUUGAACGCACAUUGCGCCCGCCAGCAUUCUGGCGGGCAUGCCUGUUCGAGCGUCAUUUCAACCCUCAAGCUCUGCUUGGUGUUGGGGCCCUACAGCUGAUGUAGGCCCUCAAAGGUAGUGGCGGACCCUCCCGGAGCCUCCUUUGCGUAGUAACUUUACGUCUCGCACUGGGAUCCGGAGGGACUCUUGCCGUAAAACCCCCAAUUUUCCAAAGGUUGACCUCGGAUCAGGUAGGAAUACCCGCUGAACUUAAGCAUAUCAAUA
rnacentral:rRNA from 6 species